rnacentral:sRNA from 1 species
CGACCAAGGUUCGAUUCGAGCGUCAGCGAGAAAGCGUUGCCGCAGGCAACGACCCGAAGGGCGAAGCGCGCAGCGCUGAGUCAUCCUUCCCCCACCACCA